CACCGCCCGUCACACCACGAAAGUUUGUCAUUGCCCGAAGCCGGUGAGCUAACCGCAAGGAGGCAGCCGUCUAAGGCAGGGCAGAUGAUUGGGGUG
rnacentral:rRNA from 1 species